rnacentral:lncRNA from 1 species
UGGCAGUGUUGGCUGAAAGCGAUCUUGUAGCCAUGGCUAUGGAGUGGAAAUCGUAUCAGGGUCCCGAACGUCUUUUCAGCUACUCAUGUGGUUAUAAAUUUGCCAAAUCUGGAGUCAGGAAGGAAUUUCCCUCACAGGCAACAUAAUGUCAGCAGCCUAAUCAGGGUGAGGGAACAAUCUGCUAGCGCCGAGGGAAGGAAUUACGUUAGGAUCAGGUGGGUGUAUUCCACACAGUCAAUAUCUUUCCAUUCCAAUGGACAUAUAUUUCUGGACUGUAUUCUUCCUGCUUUUUCUUUUUUUUCAGAAGAGCCUCUUAGACGAUGCUCACACAGAAGUGCAAAAAACUCACUGAGACUCCAUAUGUACGUAUAGAGGCUUACCAUGUGCAGUUAACUAAACUGGAGAGUAAAUUAAGCUACGCAAAUAAGACUAGACUCAAAGGACUUCGAGAACAUUUCCUAAUAGGACUUUUUCAAGAAGAGAUGACAAGCUGAAUCUGGCAGGAGGUUAGAGGUCUCAAAGGUACUAGGAAGAUCUUAAGGAGAGACUCUCCCGCUGUCUCCAUGGAGAGGAAGGAAAGGGGAACUCAGGAGCCUUCUACUCUGUUUGGCUGGAGUUAAAUGACAAGUUGAUGCAUCCUAGCCAGCAAGUCAACCCAUUCUGCUACUGCUCCAGGCAACAAGUUGGAAAAGGGCAAGUAAAGGAUAAAGGGUUCUGCCUAGAAGGAUGUACAAAUGAGCUAGGAAUAUUACAAGGUGCAAGGAGGACAUUCAAGAAGGGAAGCUGAGGGUAUUGGAAGGAACUGUAGGAGUCAAGGAGAAAGACUGGAGAAACACUUUGAUGGUAUCAAAGUGAUGGUACUUUGAAAUAUAUAAUCCUGUCUCAGGAUUUCAGUAUAUUUUCCAAACUUGAGAAUUUAAUGAUCUGCAAGUAAGAGAGUUAAUGGCUUUCCAAAUCCGAUAAGCUGAGAGAUCAGAAAUUGGUACAACUGUCACAUUUAUUUUCAGCUCUAUCCAUGACCAUAUGAUUUAUAAAUAGGAGUAUUUUUUAAAUGAAUUAUUGAACCUUACAACUUGAUUGUGAUAGAGGGAUGACAGAGAAAUUGUAGGGUAAUGAUUUUAGGAUAAUACUUUCUCAUUUGCAUCCAGCUGAGUUCUCUCCACUUAGUUUUAUGUGGACUAGCUGAACUGCAUUCUUCCCAACGUCUCAAUUCUGUUCACAUUUUUGCCAUUGUGUCUCAAGUAUAUUUUAAGCCAAAUAAAAACAGGUAUUUUGUGGGCGUACA